rnacentral:SRP_RNA from 1 species
GCUGGGUGCGGUGGCUCACGCCUGUAAUCCCGGAACUUUGGGAGGCCGAGGCGGGUGGAUCACCUGAGGUCAGGAGUUCGAGACCAGCCUGACCAACAUGGUGAAACCCCGUCUCUA